AUUGAACGCUAGCGGGAUGCUCUACACAUGCAAGUCGAACGGCAGCGCGGACUUCGGUCUGGCGGCGAGUGGCGAACGGGUGAGUAAUGUAUCGGAACGUGCCCAGUAGCGGGGGAUAACUACGCGAAAGCGUAGCUAAUACCGCAUACGCCCUACGGGGGAAAGCAGGGGAUCGUAAGACCUUGCACUAUUGGAGCGGCCGAUAUCGGAUUAGCUAGUUGGUGAGGUAACGGCUCACCAAGGCGACGAUCCGUAGCUGGUUUGAGAGGACGACCAGCCACACUGGGACUGAGACACGGCCCAGACUCCUACGGGAGGCAGCAGUGGGGAAUUUUGGACAAUGGGGGCAACCCUGAUCCAGCCAUCCCGCGUGUGCGAUGAAGGCCUUCGGGUUGUAAAGCACUUUUGGCAGGAAAGAAACGGCGCGGGCUAAUACCCCGUGGAACUGACGGUACCUGCAGAAUAAGCACCGGCUAACUACGUG
rnacentral:rRNA from 1 species